AGAGAGUCUGCGUCGGAGAGGCCAACUGAAUCGCCCCAAGGUGGUCGCUCUCAGCCCCUCGUCGACCUCCCGGGCCGCACGCUCCAGGUCAAGGCCCACAAGCCCCCGGCGGCCGGCCUCCAAGCCCCGCUUCCAGGCCCUUCCGGGGGCCGCCGCCCUUUGCCCCCGGAAGUGGGCGGGAGAGGAAGCGGCUGGUGAUGCUGGAACAAACAUGGCCGCCCCGGCGCCACUCGGCCCCUCGGGCUCCCGCCGGCCUCCGCUGGCCGCCGGCCUCCAGCUGCUGCCGCUGCUGGGGCUGCUGCAGCUGCUGGCUCAGCCCGGCCUGGGCCGCGUCCACCACCUGGCGCUCAAGGACGAUGUGAGGCAUAAGGUUCAUCUGAACACCUUUGGAUUCUUCAAGGACGGGUACAUGGUGGUUAAUGUCAGUAGCCUUUCAGUGAAUGAACCUGAAGGAGCCACAGACAAGGACACAACCAUUGGAUUCAGCCUGGACCGUACAAAGAAUGACGGGUUUUCUUCCUACCUGGAUGAAGAUGUGAAUUACUGUAUUUUAAAAAAAAAGUCCAUCUCCGUCACCCUUCUAAUCCUAGACAUCUCCAGAAGCGAGGUGAGAGUAAGAUCUCCACCAGACGCUGGUACCCAGCUACCAAAGAUCAUCUUCAGCAAGGAUGAGAAAGUCCUUGGCCAGAGCCAGGAGCCUGGUGUUGACCCUGUUCCAGCGGGCAACCAGACUCAGCAGAAACAAGACGGUGGAAAGUCUAAAAGAAGUACGGUAGAUUCCAAGGCCACGGGAGAAAAAUCCUUUUCUGUUCACAAUAGCGAUGGGGCAGUUUCUUUUCAGUUUUUCUUUAACAUCAGCACCGAUGACCAAGAAGGUCUCUACAGUCUUUAUUUUCACAAAUGCUCCGGGAACGAAUUGCGGUCUAGCGACGAGCUCUCCUUCAGCCUUGAUAUUGAGAUCACAGAGAAGAACCCUGACAGCUACCUCUCGGCAGGAGAGAUCCCUCUCCCUAAAUUAUACAUCUCUAUGGCCUUUUUCUUUUUCCUUUCUGGGACCAUCUGGAUUCACAUCCUUCGAAAACGACGGAAUGACGUAUUUAAAAUUCACUGGUUGAUGGCAGCCCUUCCUUUCACCAAGUCUCUUUCCCUGGUGUUCCACGCGAUCGACUACCAUUACAUCUCCUCCCAGGGCUUUCCGAUCGAGGGUUGGGCUGUCGUGUACUACAUCACUCACCUUUUGAAGGGGGCACUGCUGUUCAUCACCAUCGCGCUCAUCGGCACCGGCUGGGCUUUCAUUAAGCACAUCCUCUCCGACAAAGACAAGAAGAUCUUCAUGAUCGUCAUCCCGCUGCAGGUUCUGGCAAACGUGGCCUACAUCAUCAUAGAGUCCACCGAGGAGGGAACGACGGAGUAUGGCCUGUGGAAGGAUUCUCUGUUUCUGGUAGACCUGCUGUGCUGUGGGGCCAUCCUCUUCCCCGUGGUGUGGUCAAUCAGGCAUUUACAAGAAGCGUCAGCCACAGAUGGAAAAGCUGCUAUUAACUUAGCAAAGCUGAAACUUUUCAGACACUAUUACGUCUUGAUCGUAUGUUACAUAUACUUCACCAGGAUCAUUGCGUUUCUCCUCAAACUCGCCGUUCCGUUCCAGUGGAAGUGGCUGUACCAGCUCCUGGAUGAAAUGGCCACGCUGGUGUUCUUUGUCCUAACGGGAUGUAAAUUCCGUCCGGCCUCAGACAACCCCUACCUGCAGCUCUCUCAGGAGGACGACCUGGAAAUGGAAUCAGUAUCUGCAACGUAAAAACUCGUGGAGGCCGCGACAGGGAGAGAGAAGGAGAGAGGCCAUCACUGACCGUAGUAAUAACAGCUGGUGUGCAUUGAUUGGGUGCUUUGGAGAAUCUCGUCUUUCUCUGAUGACGGUUCUGAGAAGCAGUGACGACGUCAGGGGUGAUGGAGAAUAUGAAGAAAGUCAAGAAGGUGACCAAUGGGUCGGUGGAGACCCCAGGCGACUGGGAAGGCACCGCGUGAUGGAGCAGCCUGGCGGCGGGGACUGUCGAAGAGAACAUUUAAUUUAUUAAUAGUCCUAGUGGUGAGCGGGGGGCGGUCGGCACCUCCCGACGGUGACACCACAGAGCACGUGGCCGGGAACAAAGCGCCACGGAAACCUAAUUUUUUACUCUCUUCUAUGGAAACUGGACCUGUGGCUGGUUAUAGGCAGCUAGAAAUCUCCUUCAGGUGGGAAUGGUUCGGGGGGGGGGCAGUGUAGCCAGGAGGAGGAUAAAAGGAAGACUCUGUUUUUAAUUUAUAUUUCUUUCUUUUUUUCAUUGGGAACUCUCCAGAAAUAGGUAGUCAUGCCCCAGGUGUGUCACAGCAGAGACCUUGGGGGAGGGGGCAGGGGGGCGGCGGUGCGAGGCCGGAGCUGGUCACGGCUCAGGAGCAGGGUCGCAGGAGCUGAGCAGGGACUGGGGAUACAGGGACAGAGAAGGGAAAGAGAACAUAUCGUCGCAGCUUUGGGGGACAAAAAGGAAGGAAGUUAGGUUAUUUUAGAAAACAAAGCCCAAGCCCAAUUUAGUUAUACGGAGCCUGCCCCAGGAUUCCUGGCUCUGAGUGUUGCCCCAGACCUUGAUCCCAGAUUCUGAAAGUGACCAGGAACCAGCAGCUCUAGAGGCCCGGUGGUCGUCUUCCCAAAGGGGCUCUGUCGUCUGAGGGCUGAGUGUCACUGUUAGAGUCACGGCUCUGGGACUGUGGUGGGAAGUGCUUUUCUUGAUUGAAGGGUAUUUAGUGUUGUCUGAUGGGUGGGCAGAAAUGUAUUUUUCAGCUCAAGAAGCAUCAUCCAGUAGGGUUUCCUCAAACAGCUGGCUCCUCUGACCACCCAGAGCAGGGCCACCUCACUUCCCUCUGUGCUUGUGUUCGCGUCUGUCUCGUGUCAUCAGAACCCGGGGAGAAAUGGGGAGGAAUCUUCCUUAAGGAGCAGCUGGGGGCAGAAAACGUAGUGUUUAAGCAAGUACUUAAGUACAACUAAGUCGUCAUCAUUAAAAAGCUUUUGCUAUAAACCGGGUAGGCUUUCUAACAGGAACGGAACAGACUCGUGCCUGUAUCCCCGGAGCGUGCAUGCGAAGAGAGCAGGUGUGGUUGAGCAGAGCUUUACCCUCAGGGACUGGCGAUGGCGACGGCGAGUUCUUCCUCAGACCCCGCAGAGGGCCCCUCCCAACUCCCAGAGCCUGGAGGUGGACACAGGUAGCCGCUUCCUGGGGGGACCGGUGGUGCAGCUGGUAGCGAAGUCAUUUGGAUAACGGGACAAGCUCGGAACGUCUGCUGUGACGCGGGGAAGGAGGGCUUGACGAUAAUUUCCCAACGUGGUUUUGGUCGCACGGGCCUGGGGCGGGAGGCUGAAACGCGGCCUCGUCGGGAAUGCUCCCAGGGUACCGGGACCCCUUGCCUGCCUGGGCCUCUCGGGGGUGGACAGCGGCCGUCUCCCGGGGUGGUUUUCUCACCCCUGGCUUGGGGGAGUCCAUCAGAAGCCGCAGGAUUUGGGGGUGGCACUCAGGAUCCCAGGCUUGGGCACCUGAGCAGAGUCCUCAGAAAGCGGUUGCUUUCCAUCUCCUGGGCCGCUUUCUCUCCCGGAUGAAGGGGCAGGAGGGUUUUCACGUGCUCACCUUAGUCCCCUCUGUGGUCUGUGAGGCUCUUCCUGCUCGAAGUUCUGUCGUGGCCAGGCCUGUGGUGCAAGGAGGCUCCUUCCCGGGCCGCUGCCGCUGCUGACCCUGCCACAGAUUAUAGGGAAGGGGCCAUGUGUCUCCCCACCUUCAGGAAUGAAGAAAUCUGCCCAAAGUAUUUACUUAAGGGACCUUUUCUCUUUUCCUUCCUUCCUUUCUUCCUUCCUUCCUCCCUCCCUCCCUGCCUGCCUCCUUUCCUUUCUGUCUCUGUAGUCAGCUUGGGGCUACAGGACAGAAGAAGGAAGUUGCAGGGAGGACGGGAACAUUAAGACUUUGCUUUCGUGGCAUAAACACGGUUCCUGUGCUUCUGAAAUGUGUCUUGUGCUGUGGCCCAAACCCCCGUAGGCGCUUCCCUCUGAGGGACGCAUCCGCUGUUUGUCCUGCGAGCAGAUGUUCUGGAGCAGGCCGUAGACUUCUUGGCAGGACCCAAAAGUGCAACGAAAGCUUCCCCCUGGAAGGGUCCCCGUGGAAGCGAAGCAGUGAGGGAGCGAGGGAGGAGGAGAGCGGCCGUGGGCACCGCCGACCUGACGGCUGUCCCGGAGCCGGCCGUGGCGCGCGCCUUCCUCUGGCAGAGCCCGAGCCUCAGUCACCACGGCGGGGCGUGAGCCAAGCGCGUUGGGCUUCUCUGUGCGACACGUGUGCCUCUCGGCUCGUGCACACCGCAGCUGAGUGGCCGCACGUGACCACCUGACCCCUCCGGAACCGGAAGGUGCAGGUGAGAUAAGGCAGUGAUUUAGGAAUAAAGGCUGACAAGCCGGUCGUCUGCCCUCAGCCCAUGUUGUAACUGGCAGGUGUGAAGUGAGGCCAGGGAUCGAGAAGAAUCAAAACCCCCGCCCAAGAUCGGGAAAACUGGUUCUCCCACAUUUUUACAAGUUAUUUGUGCUCUCCAUCCCGUUCUGUAAAAACAUCCUCUCUUUGUCCGUCACGUCACGUAGUAGCUGUGGCCGGCGUUCAGCUCUGCCCCCGAGGGAAGGGGACCGACCGAUGGGUUCCAAGCCAGGCAGGUGCGCCGGCCCCUCCAGCAGCCCGGUAUUCACGGCUACGCGGGCUCCCAGGGACGCGGGGCUACAGCGUAGUUAAGCCCUUUGGUAUUCCAGGGAUCGGGCGGGAGGGACUGGGUGCACGUCGUGGAGUGAUCAGCAGUAUUUAUGGCUUUGUUUUGUGCUCCAGCUACCUAUUUCUGCCUAUGCGUGCUACCCGUGCUUCCUUUGAGAGCUCUGCUGUGGACGGCAAGCGCGGCCGGCCGCGAAAGGUCAGGAAGUAAGGGGGUCUGUUUUCCUCCAAUGAGAUGUGUGCGUUUUGCUAGAAAGCUACCACUUCGAUGAUAAGAACAGUCAUCGAUCUCUUAGUCCUGGCUCUUAACAGUGGCCGGGGACUCCAUCAGCCUCCUUGUCGGUUCCUUGCUGCUUUAAAAUUUCAGUAGCAGCGCACUUGAACCUGCCGAAUGCAACUCGGGUGAAUCGGAGGCCCAUUCUCCCCUUAGGAGGUGCUUCCUUUAGUGUAAAAACUGGUUUCUCAGGUCAUAGCCUGAGUCCGUUCCGUUUUCUUCCAAGAAACCACUUUGGAGUAAAAUAUCCAGGUUUGGUUUGCUUUCGCCCGGACACAGCCGGCCAGCCAGCCCCAGCCGCGCGGUCUCGUCGUAAGUCUGCUCCGAGCGCCUGUCGAGGCGAGAUUUCUGCGCCUGCCUUAUGAUCUCAUCGGGAUAUCUGCUCUGUCCUGUUCCACAGCUGCCCUCCUUCCUCCCCCUCCGCCUCCCCCUCCCCCUCCUCCUCCUCCCCCCCCCACACCUCUCUUCCUCACCCCUCAGCCCACGGCUAUCAAUUCCACGGAGGCUCCGUCUGGGAAUACGGGCCGAAGGCUUUGGUGCAUUGCAGCAUUUGUUCCCAGUAGCUGUGUGAAGGAUGUACUUCCUGAGCUAAGGAGAAUUUUGUCCAGAGCGUAGGUACUAUGCUGUGUUUUAUGCUUUGGACCCCUGCACUCAAAUGUAUUCUUAUUUAAUGCUGAGGAGUCUGUUACCAGGAGCCAGUCCUUACGGACCAAGAAGAGUGUGAAAGAUGCCUGUUGGAACUGCGAGUGGCGUUCUGGCCGUCUCCCACAUCCUGUGGCAUCUUCUCCGAGGAAGGUCCUUAGCACGUUUGACGGUCCGAUGACGUGGUUGGUCCUGCUCCAUAGCACCCAUGGAACAGCGGAACCAGUUAUGUAUGGCUCAUGCUCACAAGGCGCCGAAUUCCACGGGAGGCAGACCCCAGCCCCCUCCUCGGCCCAUUCCCACACUCCAGGCUCCCCGCUUUGCUUCCCCCUGACCCGCCCCAGCCUUCUCACAGACUGAGGGUGUGCUGAGUGCACGGCGCCCCUGGCCUCCUGCCUGUUCCUCCUGUUCAGGAUUCCGUAAACGAGUAGCUUCCGCACGAAAGACGUUAGGCUUUGACUUGCUCCUUCUUGGUCUGUCGGGGAGGUAUUCAUCUGGAACAUACCAUAUGUUCCAAAAGAUCGCUCUUUACUCCAGGUUUCUCCAGGGUGUCUUGGGCUGGAAGUCUUCAAAAGAGACCCGCCUGAGUUGAUGCUAAUACUUGGCACGCCUGGAGUGUGGUUCCUGAUUGGCGUACUGACCACUCCAGGGUCCGCAGGGCCCUUCUCUUAUAGCCUGGCGUUGCAGCUGUGCCCCGCUGUAGGGUUUGUGCUUGAAAAAUGCCUCUCGGUGGUUCUCUGCUAGGGUAUGGGACAUGUACAUCCCCUGAGGUACCGUGUGAGGGAAGCAGGCUGGCAGAGAGGGACCAGGCGUUCAGGGAGCAGGGAUCUGGUCGGGCUGCACCAGGGACUGUUGGAAUUCUGGGGGCAGGAAGUCUGCAGGCAGGCCAUCUGGGAAGGAGGAGUGCUGGACAAAGUCAGCAAGGGUCAAAGUGAGACAGAACAGCUAACUCACUUCCAAAACAGUAAGCUGAUUUCGAGGCAAGCCUUGAGGUUUUGCGGUGGACAGCCAAGUCAGACGGGCGGGGGGGCGGGGCAGAGAGUCAACCUUCUUAGCAUUUAAGACACUUAAUACAAAAGGAUCCCCAAAUCUUGUCCACGUGGGGGCGGUUCUUGACGCCCUAAGCAGCUUUUGCCCACCGUAAUUUGGAUUUGCCUGGUCACGUGACCUCCAAAGAAGUCAGACACAUCCAGUCCAGGAGUAAGUUUCAUUUGGGGGACAAAAUGUCUGUAAAUAUCGUUUGCUUUUCAGGUUAGAUUGGGAUGCAGGAGUUUGCAGUAUUUUUUUUUUUUUUUUUUAACACUGCUGAUCACGGAAAAGUAUUUAUGUAAACAUGUAACGGGUGGGGCUUCCAAUCAGGGUGACGUCUGGGAUGGAUUCUCUUGCUGUGAUGCAAACAUAGUACAAUAAAGAUUCUCUGACGGAAA